UUGGGGUGAUGAAUCAUAAUGGGGGUUCAAAAAAUUUUGGGGGGGGAUUUAUUUUUUUUUCCUUUUUUUUCUUUUUUUCCUUUUUUGUUUCUUUUAAAAUUUUCCAUUUUAAGUUGGUUAUUUCUGAUUUAUAUUUAAAAUCAAAUAAAAAUGAUAUGGUAGGAGAUACACACCAAACAGGUUGUGUAAAUUAUUAUAUAAUAAGUAUUGUGCAAUAGCAAGAAAUUUUCAAUUGCACAGUAUUGCACAAUAGCAAGAAAUCUUCGAUUGCACAGUAUUGCGCAAUAGCAAGAAAUCUUCAAUUGCACAGUAUUGCGCAAUAGCAAGAAAUAUCCAAUAGCACAAUAUUGCGCAAUAGCAAGAAAUUGUCAAUUGUACAGUAUUGCGCAAUAGCAAGAAAUAUUUAAUAGCACAGGAUUGUGCAAAAGAAGAUACUUCCUAUAAAUUGCUUAUUUCUUGACCAAUUUCAAUGGGGUUUUAUUCUUGAUUUCAUGGGGUUCUUUAAUAUGCUGAAUCUAACCGUGUAUUUAGUUUUUGGAUUUUGGGCCCCGUUUUUAAAUUGGUCCACAUUGAGGUCCAAAGGGUCCAAAAUUAAACUUUGUUUGAUUUCAUCAAAAAUUGAAUUAUGGGGGUUCUUUGAUAUGCCGAAUCUAACUGUGUAUUUAGAUUCUUAAAUUUUGGUUCCGUUUUCAAAUUGGUCAACAUUAAGGUCCAAAGGAUCCAAAAUUAAACUUAGUUUGAUUUUAACAAAAAUUGAAUUCUUAGGGUUCUUUGAUAUGCUGAAUCUAAACAUGUAUUUAGAUUUUUGAUUAUGGGCCCAAUUUUCAAGUUGGUCCAAAUCGGGGUCCAAAAUUAAACUUUGUUUGAUUUCAACAAAAAUUGAAUAUAUGGGGUUCUUUGAUAUGCUGAAUCUAACCAUGUAUUUAGAUUUUUGAUUUUUGGGCCCCGUUAUCAACUUUGUCCACAUUGAGGUCAAAAGGGUCCAAAAUUAAACUUUGUUUGAUUUCAUCAAAAAUUGAAUUAUUGGGGUUCUUUGAUAUGCCGAAUCUAACCGUGUAUUUAGAUUCUUAAUUUUUGGUUCCGUUUUCAAAUUGGUCUACAUUAAGGUCCAAAGGGUCCAAAAUUAAACUUAGUUUGAUUUUAACAAAAAUUGAAUUCUUAGGGUUCUUUGAUAUGCUGAAUCUAAACAUGUAUUUAGAUUUUUGAUUAUGGGCCCAGUUUUCAAGUUGGUCCAAAUUGGGGUCCAAAAUUUAACUUUGUUUGAUUUCAACAAAAAUUGAAUAUAUGGGGUUCUUUGAUAUGCUGAAUCUAACCAUGUAUUUAGAUUUUUGAUUUUUGGGCCCCGUUAUCAACUUUGUCCACAUUGAGGUCCAAAGGGUCCAAAAUUAAACUUUGUUUGAUUUCAUCAAAAAUUGAAUUAUGGGGGUUCUUUGAUAUGCCGAAUCUAAUUGUGUAUUUAGAUUCUUAAAUUUUGGUUCCGUUUUCAAAUUGGUCUACAUUAAGGACCAAAGGGUCCAAAAUUAAACUUAGUUUGAUUUUAACAAAAAUUGAAUUCUUAGGGUUCUUUGAUAUGCUGAAUCUAAACAUGUAUUUAGAUUUUUGAUUAUGGGCCCAGUUUUCAAGUUGGUCCAAAUCGGGGUCCAAAAUUAAACUUUGUUUGAUUUCAACAAAAAUUGAAUAUAUGGGGUUCUUUGAUAUGCUGAAUCUAACCAUGUAUUUAGAUUUUUGAUUUUUGGGCCCCGUUAUCAACUUUGUCCACAUUGAGGUCCAAAGGGUCCAAAAUUAAACUUUGUUUGAUUUCAUCAAAAAUUGAAUUAUUUGGGUUCUUUGAUAUGCCGAAUCUAACCGUGUAUUUAGAUUCUUAAUUUUUGGUUCCGUUUUCAAAUUGGUCUACAUUAAGGUCCAAAGGGUCCAAAAUUAAACUUAGUUUGAUUUUAACAAAAAUUGAAUUCUUAGGGUUCUUUGAUAUGCUGAAUCUAAACAUGUAUUUAGAUUUUUGAUUAUGAGCCCAGUUUUCAAGUUGGUCCAAAUUGGGGUCCAAAAUUUAACUUUGUUUGAUUUCAACAAAAAUUGAAUAUAUGGGGUUCUUUGAUAUGCUGAAUCUAACCAUGUAUUUAGAUUUUUGAUUUUUGGGCCCCGUUAUCAACUUUGUCCACAUUGAGGUCCAAAGGGUCCAAAAUUAAACUUUGUUUGAUUUCAUCAAAAAUUGAAUUAUGGGGGUUCUUUGAUAUGCCGAAUCUAACUGUGUAUUUAGAUUCUUAAAUUUUGGUUCCGUUUUCAAAUUGGUCUACAUUAAGGUCCAAAGGGUCCAAAAUUAAACUUAGUUUGAUUUUAACAAAAAUUGAAUUCUUAGGGUUCUUUGAUAUGCUGAAUCUAAACAUGUAUUUAGAUUUUUGAUUAUGGGCCCAGUUUUCAAGUUGGUCCAAAUCGGGGUCCAAAAUUAAACUUUGUUUGAUUUCAACAAAAAUUGAAUAUAUGGGGUUCUUUGAUAUGCUGAAUCUAACCAUGUAUUUAGAUUUUUGAUUUUUGGGCCCCGUUAUCAACUUUGUCCACAUUGAGGUCAAAAGGGUCCAAAAUUAAACUUUGUUUGAUUUCAUCAAAAAUUGAAUUAUUGGGGUUCUUUGAUAUGCCGAAUCUAACCGUGUAUUUAGAUUCUUAAUUUUUGGUUCCGUUUUCAAAUUGGUCUACAUUAAGGUCCAAAGGGUCCAAAAUUAAACUUAGUUUGAUUUUAACAAAAAUUGAAUUCUUAGGGUUCUUUGAUAUGCUGAAUCUAAACAUGUAUUUAGAUUUUUGAUUAUGGGCCCAGUUUUCAAGUUGGUCCAAAUUGGGGUCCAAAAUUUAACUUUGUUUGAUUUCAACAAAAAUUGAAUAUAUGGGGUUCUUUGAUAUGCUGAAUCUAACCAUGUAUUUAGAUUUUUGAUUUUUGGGCCCCGUUAUCAACUUUGUCCACAUUGAGGUCCAAAGGGUCCAAAAUUAAACUUUGUUUGAUUUCAUCAAAAAUUGAAUUAUUGGGGUUCUUUGAUAUGCCGAAUCUAACCGUGUAUUUAGAUUCUUAAUUUUUGGUUCCGUUUUCAAAUUGGUCUACAUUAAGGUCCAAAGGGUCCAAAAUUAAACUUAGUUUGAUUUUAACAAAAAUUGAAUUCUUAGGGUUCUUUGAUAUGCUGAAUCUAAACAUGUAUUUAGAUUUUUGAUUAUGAGCCCAGUUUUCAAGUUGGUCCAAAUUGGGGUCCAAAAUUUAACUUUGUUUGAUUUCAACAAAAAUUGAAUAUAUGGGGUUCUUUGAUAUGCUGAAUCUAACCAUGUAUUUAGAUUUUUGAUUUUUGGGCCCCGUUAUCAACUUUGUCCACAUUGAGGUCCAAAGGGUCCAAAAUUAAACUUUGUUUGAUUUCAUCAAAAAUUGAAUUAUGGGGGUUCUUUGAUAUGCCGAAUCUAACUGUGUAUUUAGAUUCUUAAAUUUUGGUUCCGUUUUCAAAUUGGUCUACAUUAAGGUCCAAAGGGUCCAAAAUUAAACUUAGUUUGAUUUUAACAAAAAUUGAAUUCUUAGGGUUCUUUGAUAUGCUGAAUCUAAACAUGUAUUUAGAUUUUUGAUUAUGGGCCCAGUUUUCAAGUUGGUCCAAAUCGGGGUCCAAAAUUAAACUUUGUUUGAUUUCAACAAAAAUUGAAUAUAUGGGGUUCUUUGAUAUGCUGAAUCUAACCAUGUAUUUAGAUUUUUGAUUUUUGGGCCCCGUUAUCAACUUUGUCCACAUUGAGGUCAAAAGGGUCCAAAAUUAAACUUUGUUUGAUUUCAUCAAAAAUUGAAUUAUUGGGGUUCUUUGAUAUGCCGAAUCUAACCGUGUAUUUAGAUUCUUAAUUUUUGGUUCCGUUUUCAAAUUGGUCUACAUUAAGGUCCAAAGGGUCCAAAAUUAAACUUAGUUUGAUUUUAACAAAAAUUGAAUUCUUAGGGUUCUUUGAUAUGCUGAAUCUAAACAUGUAUUUAGAUUUUUGAUUAUGGGCCCAGUUUUCAAGUUGGUCCAAAUUGGGGUCCAAAAUUUAACUUUGUUUGAUUUCAAUAAAAAUUGAAUAUAUGGGGUUCUUUGAUAUGCUGAAUCUAACCAUGUAUUUAGAUUUUUGAUUUUUGGGCCCCGUUAUCAACUUUGUCCACAUUGAGGUCAAAAGGGUCCAAAAUUAAACUUUGUUUGAUUUCAUCAAAAAUUGAAUUCUUGGGGUUCUUUGAUAUGCUGAAUCUAACCAUGUAUUUAGAUUUUGGAUAUUGGACCAUAAUAGGUGAAUGUCCAAUUUAAAAAUUUUAAGUUCUUAGACCACAUUCAUUCUGUGUCAGAAACCUAUGCUGUGUCAAAUAUUUAAUCACAAUCCAAAUGCAAAGCUGUAUCAAGCUUGAAUGUUGUGUCCAUACUUGCCCCAACUGUUCAGGGUUCGACCUCUGCGGUCGUAUCAAGCUGCGCCCUGCAGAGCAUUUUAUUAAUUCUAUUAUAAAAUAGAUUAAGUUAGCACUAUGGUAAAUUUAAAUGGGUAAUUAUGGAUGCCAACUCCAUUGGAAAUUUGAAUUGAGAUUAUGACCAUAUCUUGAGGGAAAGAAUUUUUUGGGGGAAAAAAGGGGGGGGGGGGGAUAAAAAGAAAUUGUGGGGGGUCAAUUUUUUCUCAUUUCAGAUUUUAGAAAUUAAGAAGAAUUAUUCUUCAAAUAUUAUUUUUUUUUCAAAUUUCAAAUAUUGAAAAAUUUCAAGAAGUAAUCUUUAAUUGCACAGUAUGGCGCAUUAGAUUUGUAAAAUCUUUGAUCACAUUUAUUUAUUUGUUAUGCCGAAUCUAACAGUGUAUUUAGAUUUUUAAUUUUGGGUCCAGUUUUCAAAUUGGUCUACAUUUAGGUCCAAAGGGUCCAAAAUUAAACUUUGUUUGAUUUUAGCAAAAAUUGAAUAUAUGAGGUUCUUUGAUAUGCUGAAUCUAAACAUGUAUUUAGAUUUUUGAUUUUUGGCCCAGUUUUCAAGUUGGUCCAAAUUGGGGUUCAAAAUUAAACUUUGUUUGAUUUCAACAAAAAUUGAAUAUAUGGGGUUCUUUGAUAUGCUGAAUCUAACCAUGUAUUUAGAUUUUUUAUUUGUGGACCCUGUUAUUAAAUUGGUUCAUAUUGAGGUCAAAAGGGUCCAAAAUUAAACUUUGUUUGAUUUCAUCUAAAAUUGAAUUAUUGGGGUUCUUUGAUAUUCCAAAUCUAACCGUGUAUUUAGAUUUUUAAUUUUGGGUCCUGUUUUUUAAAUUGGUCUAGAUUAAGGUCCAAAGGGUCCAAAAUUAAACUUAGUUUGAUUUUAACAAAAAUUGAAUUCUUGGGGUUCUUUGAUAUGCUGAAUCUAAACAUGUGUUUAGAUUUUUGAUUAUGGGCCCAGUUUUCAAGUUGGUCCAAGAUAGGGUCCAGUAUUUAAACUUUGUUUGAUUUCAACAAAAAUUGAAUAUGUGAGGUUCUUUGAUAUGCUGAAUCUAAACAUGUAUUUAGAUUUUUGAUUAUGGGCCCAGUUUUCAAGUUGGUCCAAAUUGGGGUCCAAAAUUAAACUUUGUUUGAUUUCAACAAAAAUUGAAUAUAUGAGGUUCUUUGAUAUGCUGAAUCUAACCAUGUAUUUAGAUUUUUUAUUUGUGGGCCCCGAUAUCAAAUUGGUUCAUAUUGAGGUCAAAAGGGUCCAAAAUUAAACUUUGUUUGAUUUCAUCAAAAAUUGAGUUAUUGGAGUUCUUUGAUAUGCCAAAUCUAACCGUGUUUUUAGAUUUUUAAUUUGGGUCCCGUUUUUUAAAUUGGUCUUCAUUGAGGUCCAAAGGGUCCAAAAUUAAACUUAGUUUGAUUUUAACAAAAAUUGAAUUCUUGGGGUUCUUUGAUAUGCUGAAUCUAAACAUGUGUUUAGAUUUUUGAUUAUGGGCCCAGUUUUCAAGUUUGUCCAAGUUGGGGUCCAAAAUUAAACUUUGUUUGAUUUUAACAAAAAUUGAAUAUAUGGGGUUCUUUGAUAUGCUGAAUCUAACCAUGUAUUUUGAUUUUGGACAUUGGACCAUAAUAGGUAAAUUAAAAAAAAUCAAGUUCUUAGACCACAUUCUUUCUGUGUCAGAAACCUAUGCUGUGUCAAAUAUUUAAUAACAAUCCAAAUUCAGAGCUGUAUCAAGCUUGAAUGUUGUGUCCAUAAUUGCCCCAACUGUUCAGGGUUCGACCUCUGCGGUCGUAUCAAGCUGUGCC